CUUUUAAAUGAGCGACGAAGUGUUUUUUGUAAACUGUAAUUAUCUUGUGAAUUCAACCACCGUCUUAUUUUAUAUCGACUAACUUUUUUACCAUCUGCAUUCACGAUAUGAUACAGUUUGUCAGCAGAGGCAUAUGCAGCUGGUCCACCCACAUCAUAAUAAUAUUUACUCAGGAGAGUAUCUAGUUCCUCAUUUAUACUUAACACAAUUUGAACUGAAUGCAUACCACAUUUUUUUCUUUUUUUUAAGUAAAGUUUCACUUAUCCUUGAUUUCACAGAUAAUGUAAAGAAAAAAAACCCAUUUUUUUUAUUAAGGAGUGUAAAUAUUUACAUCUUUUUAAUUUUUCUUAGUUCUUAUGUGAAACUUUACUUAAAAAAACAAAAACAAACAAACAAACGCAAAACCACACACUCCCACUAUAUCAUUUAAUAAGAAAAACAAAAGAAUAAUUUAUAUGUGUUUUUAUAAUUUAUUAGUAGAAAAGAUUUUAUCUAACUCUGAUAAAACACAUCUAUACAGUCAAAUUAAGUUCAUAUGUAUAUAGCACACAAGUUCCCAUAUAUACACAUCACACACGUUCCUGGUUUUCUUCUAAGACAUUCAUAUUCUAUUGAUUUUCUUUGAUGUUUUCUUUGAUGUUUUCUUUUUUCUAAUACUAGUGUUAUAAUCCACUUCCAUAUUCUGAAAAAAGUUAAGAGAAAA
rnacentral:lncRNA from 1 species